CCUACGGGAGGCAGCAGUAGGGAAUUUUCGGCAAUGGGGUGAACCCUGACCGAGCAAAGUCGCGUGAACGAAGAAGUUACUCUUAAUGUUAAGUUUUUUUAACAGGGGAGCAAGAGAAGUUUCACGGUACCUGACGGAUAAGCUCCGGCUAACUACGUGCCAGCAGCCGCGGUAAUACGUAGGGAGCGAGCGUUAUCCGGAAUUAUUGGGCGUAAAGGGUGCGUAGAUGGCAUAGUAAGUCUGCUGUAAAAAUGCUGGGCUCAACCCAGUAGGGCAAAAGAUACUGCCGAGUUAGAGUAUGACAGAGGUAAGUGGAACGAGAUGUGUAGCGGUAAAAUGCAUAAAUAUA
rnacentral:rRNA from 1 species